UGCCAGACUCCUACGGGAGGCAGCAGUGGGGAAUAUUGGGCAAUGGGCGCAAGCCUGACCCAGCAACGCCGCGUGAAGGAAGAAGGCUUUCGGGUUGUAAACUUCUUUUAAGAGGGAAGAGAAGAAGACGGUACCUCUUGAAUAAGCCACGGCUAACUACGUGCCAGCAGCCGCGGUAAUACGUAGGUGGCAAGCGUUAUCCGGAUUUACUGGGUGUAAAGGGCGUGUAGGCGGGAGAGCAAGUCAGACGUGAAAUUCCAGGGCUCAACCCUGGAACUGCAUUUGAAACUGUUGGUCUUGAGUAUCGGAGAGGCAGGCGGAAUUCCUAGUGUAGCGGUGAAAUGCGUAGAUAUUAGGAGGAACACCAGUGGCGAAGGCGGCCUGCUGGACGACAACUGACGGUGAGGCGCGAAAGCGUGGGGAGCAAACAGGAUUAGAUACCCUUGUAAC
rnacentral:rRNA from 1 species